rnacentral:rRNA from 1 species
AUUGAACGCUGGCGGUAUGCUUAACACAUGCAAGUCGAACGGCAGCACGGUAGAGCUUGCUCUAUGGGUGGCGAGUGGCGGACGGGUGAGUAAUGCAUCGGGACCUACCCAGACGUGGGGGAUAACGUAGGGAAACUUACGCUAAUACCGCAUACGUCCUAAGGGAGAAAGCGGGGGAUCGCAAGACCUCGCGCGGUUGGAUGGACCGAUGUGCGAUUAGCUAGUUGGUAAGGUAAUGGCUUACCAAGGCGACGAUCGCUAGCUGGUCUGAGAGGAGGAUCAGCCACACUGGGACUGAGACACGGCCCAGACUCCUACGGGAGGCGGCAGUGGGGAAUAUUGGACAAUGGGCGCAAGCCUGAUCCAGCAAUACCGCGUGUGUGAAGAAGGCCCUCGGGUUGUAAAGCACUUUUAUCAGGAACGAAAUCUGCAAGGUUAAUACCCGUGCAGUCUGACGGUACCUGAGGGAUAAGCACCGGCUAACUCCGUGCCAGCCGCCGCCGUAA